rnacentral:rRNA from 1 species
CGGCGAGUGAAGCGGCAAAAGCUCAAAUUUGAAAUCUGGCACCUUCGGUGUCCGAGUUGUAAUUUGAAGAAGGUAACUUUGGAGUCAGCUCUUGUCUAUGUUCCUUGGAACAGGACGUCACAGAGGGUGAGAAUCCCGUGCGAUGAGAUGUCUGAUUCUAUGUAAAGUGCUUUCGAAGAGUCGAGUUGUUUGGGAAUGCAGCUCUAAGUGGGUGGUAAAUUCCAUCUAAAGCUAAAUAUUGGCGAGAGACCGAUAGCGAACAAGUACAGUGAUGGAAAGAUGAAAAGAACUUUGAAAAGAGAGUGAAAAAGUACGUGAAAUUGUUGAAAGGGAAGGGUUUGAGAUCAGACUUGGUAUUUUGUAUGUCUUGCUUUCGGGUGGGGCCUCUACAGUUUACUGGGCCAGCAUCGGUUUGGACGGUAGGAUAAUGACAUUGGAAUGUGGCACCACUUCGGUGGUGUGUUAUAGACUUUGUUGAUACUGCCUGUCUAGACCGAGGACUGCGUCUUU